GAUUGCUUCGGUCUACACGUUGUUUUAAGGUUACCUAAACGAUACUGCACGACGGAGAAUUCGAAACUGGAACUAACCGAGGAAACGUCGGGUCGGUAAAUUACCGACGUGGUACGGGAGUCAGUGAUGCCAGACUUUUUGAAAAGGUUCAAUUACGAAACUCCAGAGGAAGCUUCCGUGCUUGUAUGGCGUCCAAUCAGUUGAUUUAACGUUAACGUCAAUACGUGAGCAGAGUUCAUCAAUCUCCCGUAAUAAUAUCAACACGUCGUGUCUGAAUCAACACGCACCGUUGACGGUUCGACGUUCGUACCUACUCUAUAGAUAAAUUGGCGUGGAUGCGCUGGAUACAUUGAGGGACAGAAGAAAAGAGCAAAGAGAAUGAGAGAAACAGGAUCUGCUGCGGUGGCUUUGUCAUUAUUUUUCAUCAGGGUCAUCAGUGAACUUGGCGACGAAUUCUUUCCCUCUGGAUAUACUACUUUGCAAAUGG